rnacentral:rRNA from 1 species
AAGUCGAACGGAAAGGCCCUUUCGGGGGUACUCGAGUGGCGAACGGGUGAGUAACACGUGGGUAACCUGCCCCGGGCUCUGGGAUAACCGUUGGAAACGACGGCUAAUACCGGAUAUGACCGCUUCCCGCAUGGGAUGGUGGUGGAAAGCUUUUGUGGCUCGGGUGGGGCUCGCGGCCUAUCAGCUGGUUGGUGGGGUGAUGGCCUACCAAGGCGGUGACGGGUAGCCGGCCUGAGAGGGCGGUCGGUCACAUUGGGACUGAGAUACGGCCCAGACUCCUACGGGAGGCAGCAGUGGGGAAUUUUGCACAAUGGGCGGAAGCCUGAUGCAGCGACGCCGCGUGAGGGAUGACGGCUUUCGGGUUGUAAACCUCUUUUACUCUUGGCGAAGGCCGGUGUUUUCACUGGUUGACGGUAGGGGGUGAAUAAGCGCCGGCUAACUACGUGCCAGCAGCCGCGGUAAGACGUAGGGCGCGAGCGUUGUCCGGAUUUAUUGGGCGUAAAGGGCUCGUAGGCGGCUCGGUCUGCCGUGCAAGGUCCCGGCUUAACCGGGGAUUUGCGGUGGAUACGGGCGGGCUUGAGGCAAUUAGGGGAGACUGGAAUUCUACGUGUAGCGGUGAAAUGCGCAGAUAUGUGGAGGAACACCGGUGGCGAAGGCGGGUCUCUGGGAUUGUACUGACGCUGAGGAGCGAAAGCGUGGGGAGCGAACAGGAUUAGAUACCCUGGUAGUCCA